rnacentral:rRNA from 1 species
ACGAACGCUGGCGGCGUGCUUAACACAUGCAAGUCGAACGGUGAAGGGAUCAGCUUGCUGGUUCUGGAUGAGUGGCGAACGGGUGAGUAACACGUGAGUAACCUGCCCCCUUCUUCUGGAUAACCGCAUGAAAGUGUGGCUAAUACGGGAUAUUCUGCGCCUGCUGCAUGGUGGGUGUGGGAAAGAUAUUGUUUCGGUGGGGGAUGGGCUCGCGGCCUAUCAGCUUGCUGGUGGGGUGAUGGCCUACCAAGGCGGUGACGGGUAGCCGGCCUGAGAGGGUGGACGGUCACACUGGGACUGAGACACGGCCCAGACUCCUACGGGAGGCAGCAGUGGGGAAUAUUGCACAAUGGGCGCAAGCCUGAUGCAGCGACGCCGCGUGAGGGAUGGAGGCCUUCGGGUUGUGAACCUCUUUCGCCAGUGAAGCAGGCCUGUCCCUUGUGGGUGGGUUGACGGUAGCUGGAUAAGAAGCGCCGGCUAACUACGUG